GGAACCAUAUUACUACAAUAUCUCCUCCUCAACUCAAUAUUUAUAACCAACAGAAGUCUACAAAAUUUGUAUUCUACAGUGUAUAAGAACUGAUAGGAAACAACACUGAAAGAGAAGAAGGAACGGGUCUCAGUUACCUCGGAAAAGACGCGACUAUGCUACGUGACCGGAGAACGGAAGCCUCGUCGGAACUACGAUCCAAACCUCGACAUUCGUCGAAACCAAUGACGUUACUACUAUAACGAUGGAGAUACUAGAACUACAGCCACACGACACAGGCGAAGGGACGCCGACGAACUGAUUCUGGCCAAACUCAGUACAAAAAUAACAAAAUCCAUAACCUGUUAGAACUACACCCAUCCGACAUAGAAGUAGAGCCUGUGAGAACGAUGGUGAUGAGGGAUAUCAGAAAAUGCUCCGAUGAUGACUGCUGUGUGCGUGUGGUUGUCGGAGCUGUGGUGGUGACAAAUGAAGAUGGAGAUGAGAUCGUUUUUUUUUUCACUGUGGAGAUGGGCGACUGGUUGGUUUUGUGAGGUUGGGGUGGCGGCUGUGGGUUGCGUGGAGUCCUCUAGAGUUCAGCUAGGUUGUUGCAAGGUUGAAGAUGAGGUCUGAUGGGUGGGAGAAGCACUGACGACGCUGGGCGACUGGUUUCCGGCGAGGGUCGUUUGGGUUGAAGCUGGAGAUGGUCUGGUGCGUUUUUGUGAAGAAGAAGGCAAAGAUGCGCAGCUUCUUCAAUUCCCAGCCUCCUCGUUCCCUUUCUAUAUUGUGCCUGUAUGUGUAUAUAUAUUGUGUGUGUGUUUUUUUGUGAAGAAGACAAGGCUGUCCAGCUUCCUCCUCUGUAUAUGCGCACUUGUGUGUGAAGAAGAAGCCUCCUUGGCUGCGCUUCCAGGCGUGUAUAUCUGUAUGUAUGUAUUGUUUUUCGUCUUUUAGGUUAGGAAGAGAAUUUGGGUAUUGGGUUGGGUAGAAAAAGUAUGGUUUGAGC
rnacentral:lncRNA from 1 species